rnacentral:rRNA from 1 species
UACGUAGGGUGCAAGCGUUAAUCGGAAUUACUGGGCGUAAAGCGUGCGCAGGCGGUUUUGUAAGUCUGACGUGAAAGCCCCGGGCUCAACCUGGGAAUUGCGUUGGAGACUGCAAGGCUUGAAUCUGGCAGAGGGGGGUAGAAUUCCACGUGUAGCAGUGAAAUGCGUAGAGAUGUGGAGGAACACCGAUGGCGAAGGCAGCCCCCUGGGUCAAGAUUGACGCUCAUGCACGAAAUCGUGGGGAGCAAACAGG